CCAAGACCCAAAACAAUAGAAAAGAACUAAGCUUGACACUUUGAAUCCUGGGUCGUAGUUUCAGUCAACUCUGAAGCUCUCCUAUGCACUCCCAUAUCUUUUCCUUAUUUACUUGAUUUAUUUACUUGAUUUGUGUUCCAUUUUCUUUCCUUUUUGUUCUUACCUACCUAGAUUGGGAGUCGAAAUUUUAGUCCCAAUUCUAGUCCAAACGGCUAUCUUGUUUGAAGACUCGCAUGAUUUUCUUUCCAUUUGAGCACCCGCAGAUUUAAAAUCAACUGGAUGAAUGUAGAUAGAUUUGGGGGUAAGUGUUCUUUGUUUCUCAUAUUGAUCCAAUCGCAAUUAUAGAAUAUUUCUUUUGAUUUUCGAAUUUUAAAGGAAGUGUAAUUUUUGAAUUUUUACUGAUUAUAUGGAACUAAUUUUUCCCCAAAAACUAUAGUACCUUGUUUUUUAGCAUUAAUCAACAACGGCUCUUUUCAAAGAAAAUUUGCUUGUAAUGAUACACAAUUUUUACUGAUUUCUUUCCUUCCUAAUUACAAACGUUUAUUUUAUUCAAAGCUAUAAAUAUUGGCAUCCUUGGCACUUCAAGAGGGGGAAAAAAAGAAGAAAUUGGCAUUUUCGAUCACUACUUUCACUGCAACUAUAGCAAUUUUCACUAUUGAGAUAUUACUGUAAUUGCCUCUCCGCUUGCCGGCUAUAAGCUAAGGGAAAGCUUGGUUCUUUACCCUCACUUAAUAUAAAUACUGCUCGAAACUCUCGAGGUUCUCAUGAUCUCAAAGUAUCAAGUUCGGGUAUCAAUAGUAGAUGUUGUUCAACUUCAUUUUCGGCGAUUAGUUAUUGGACUUUAAUCGUGAUUCGGAUUUCUGGCUUUUUAUAUUUAUCUCUGCACGUCAAACUGGUUAGUCUUUUAGACGACUCAUUUAAAUUUCGUAUGUGAUAAUUGUAUGUAAAAUAGUUAGUUUUAAUUCACACAUGAUAUGUUGCUUGAAUGCUAAAAGCAUUCUACUUGGAAGCGCGCAGGUUAGCGCUCUUCUCCUUUCUCCAGAAUUUUGCCUUAUGUGUGUAUGAAAUUUUGUAUGCAUAUGGCCGUGCUGCCAGUGCCAGGUAACACUCUAUUGAAAGCACAUGCCAUUAGAAAAUAACUACGUCUCUUAAUCCUUGUAUGUCUUAUUGUCCUUGCAAGCCUUUUUGUGACUAUUUGCGCACUAGAAACAAGGUCUUAGUCUCAAUGGAUGUUAAAAUUCUCUUGUCUAUUAAUCUGAUUAAAAGCAUGGUUAUUACUCUUCCUGAAUAUCUAUUCUUGUUAAAGCCAAGUAGAGAUUAUGUUUUAGGAUUAACCUAGCCAAUAGGAACAAUAAUGCUUGAACUAUAUUGUAGGUUCAAAAGAUUAAUUCAUUGUAAGACUUCAUGCUUAUCCUCAUUAAAAUUGGAACAACAUCUACUGCUCUUCUAUGCCUUUGACUAGUGAAUAUGAUCAUUUGCUGAUCAUUUGGACACCAUGCCUGGUAGAGUAAUUCAUGAACAAUAUUUGCUUGCUUUUCGUGUUUGAUCUUGCUGUGUGAACAUGUUUCUGUGUUUAAUUACAUAGAUAUCAUAUUUUAUGUUCAAUCAUGUGCUUGAAUAUCACCUAGAUACCAUGCCUUCAAGAUUAACAAGCAUGGUCCCUAUUAAGAAAAGGGGUUUGAGUAAUCUAUAAUAUACGAAAUCAUAGUGUGCUUAUUCUAUGCCUAUUUGAUUUAAUAGAGAUAUAGUUUUAACUAUCCUUAGGUUAUAGCUGAAUAAGUUUUGUUAAAGCUAGUAGUUUCAAACCUUUUCUAUGUUUAUGUGAUUAGGAGGAUCAAUGUGAGGAGAUUUUGUUAUAAAAAUUAUAACCCGUGCUGUAAAAGUCCAUGUGCUAUGAGCAUAUAAUCCAUAUGUGUGUUUAGCUCUUUAUGCGCGUGUGCAAUUUGUAUUAAGUGAAUUGCAGGUAUCUAAAUUUGGUUUGGAUGAGAAUUUGGGUCGCCGUAAAUGCAAGGCCUAAAAGAGGGGUCAACCUGGAGUUCUGAAGCUGUCUAGUUAUUUUCCUAGGCCAUACCAUUUUUAUCUACUUGAGCAUGUAAUAAGACACUGAUAGUUGUGAAGGGAUAUUGGAAAA
rnacentral:lncRNA from 1 species